rnacentral:rRNA from 1 species
UACAGAGGUCCCAAGCGUUGUUCGGAUUUACUGGGCGUAAAGGGUGCGUAGGCGGUGGGGUAAGUUUGAGGUGAAAGCUCCGGGCUCAACCCGGAAACUGCCUUGAAAACUAUCCGGCUAGAGGGUUGGAGGGGAGACUGGAAUUCUCGGUGUAGCAGUGAAAUGCGUAGAUCUCGAGAGGAACACCGGUGGCGAAGGCGGCAUCCUGGACCGACACUGACACUGAGGAGCGAAAGCCAGGGGAGCAAACGGG